CUGCAGGACCUGACAGCUGGAAGAAGCGAGGCCCCUGGUCUGCUGAAUACUGGGACUGGCACGGAGCGGCUCUGUGACCGAUGUGGAACGUGCCAGUGGGGAUCACCCUGACCAGAGUACUUGGCAUCUUAUCAUAGAAUCCUUGGAGUCGGAAGGGACCUUGAAUGGCCAUCUAGUCCAACUCCCCUGCAAUGAAGAGGGACAUCCACAGCUCCAUCAGGCUGCCCAGGGCUUGAGCCAGCCUUGCCUUGAAAGUCUCCAGGGACACAAGAGCGAGCGGAAGGCCGGGGGGGAACCGUGGUACGGGCCGCGUGAAUGGCACGGAAGUUGUUUCCGCCGUCUGUGCUGCCACCGUGUGGUCAAUCCGCGGCAGUGCCGCUGUCUCGGUUUGGUGUGGCAGGCAGCAGGACGCAUGCGCAUGGGUAUGCGGAAGUGGCGCGUGUCCGUUGUGGUCGCUCUGCGUAGCUAACCCGCCAAUCUCUAGUGUGCUUAGUCCUCCAGGCGGCAGUGCGCAUGCACCCGAGAGCGUACGCGCGGCACCCGUUUCUCCGAGGCGCUGAGGUGCGGUCGAGCAGA
rnacentral:lncRNA from 1 species